UAUCAGCAGCAACGUGCAUCUGUGCCUAGGAAGGCAGCGCCCUGAGGGUGCCUGCUGCAGGGCCAGAGGCCCUGGGAGACCCUUUUGCUUCAAUUGCUCAAGUGACCUGCCUCUUCUUAAGUGACCUACUUCCUUUUACAGACUCCUGAGUUAGACAGUUCAAGAGGCUGAGCUGAGAACCACUGCUAAGACAGAGCACACACCAUCACCAGGGCUUGGCCUCGAGGCAGUCACAGGAACCAACUGAAGCUGGCAACACCCGACUUUAGAUACAAUCUCACAGGCGAGGAAGACUGAAUGACCCCGUCUCUGCCCACGGGCCCAGCCACAUCUCCAGGCCACACUGCGCCAGCAGAACAAGCACGCGUCUGUCAGUCAGUAUGGGCUCAUACCGUGCCUGCUCACACACGCUGCUCCUCUCCAGCAAUGACGCUCUCCUCUCAGGCUCUUGCUGGUCAGGCUGGGGUUGGCGGAGCUGAUUCUCCACUGUCCUUGCUCCCUGGAGCUCAAUGGCCAAAGCCAGCAUAUUACUGUCAACUAACAGGGCCGAUGUGCUGAGGGACCAGAUGUUCACAUUCUCCUCCUGGGACAUGUCUGGGAAGCUUGAACCGUCCACCAACAGGGAGGUACCCCAGGGCUUGAACUCAAGACCUGCUGGCACUGGCGUCCUGCAUACUCCCUGCCACACGGGAGGCCUAAGCCCCAAGAAGGGAAAAGAUGCUCCAGUGUUUUCCGGAUCAUGGUGCCCAGGACCAACCAGAAAGGGCCGUCACCGUUUCUCUCACUCCCAGGGAAGGCGUGGUGGGCAUGGGACGACCACCCAUAUCUUUCUUCUCAGUCGCUGCUCUAAAAUGUAACCCUUGGGCUGGAUCUGAGUAGCCUGUGGGA
rnacentral:lncRNA from 1 species